GAUGAACGCUGGCGGCGUGCCUAAUACAUGCAAGUCGAGCGAACAGACGAGGAGCUUGCUCCUCUGACGUUAGCGGCGGACGGGUGAGUAACACGUGGAUAACCUACCUAUAAGACUGGGAUAACUUCGGGAACCCGGAGCUAAUACCGGAUAAUAUAUUGAACCGCAUGGUUCAAUAGUGAAAGACGGUUUUCCUGUCACUUAUAGAUGGAUCCGCGCCGCAUUAGCUAGUUGGUAAGGUAACGGCUUACCAAGGCAACGAUGCGUAGCCGACCUGAGAGGGUGAUCGGCCACACUGGAACUGAGACACGGUCCAGACUCCUACGGGAGGCAGCAGUAGGGAAUCUUCCGCAAUGGGCGAAAGCUUGACGGAGCAACGCCGCGUGAGUGAUGAAGGUCUUCGGAUCGUAAAACUCUGUUAUUAGGGAAGAACAAAUGUGUAAGUAACUAUGCACGUCUUGACGGUACCUAAUCAGAAAGCCACGGCUAACUACGUG
rnacentral:rRNA from 1 species